rnacentral:rRNA from 1 species
GAUGAACGCUAGCGGGAGGCUUAAUACAUGCAAGUCGAACGGUAACAGGGAACUUUUUCGGAAGAUCUGCUGACGAGUGGCGCACGGGUGAGUAACGCGUACACAACCUACCUUUUACAGAGGGAUAGCCUCGGGAAACUGAGAAUAAUACCUCAUAGACUAUACUAACCGCAUGGUUUGGUAUAUUAAAGCUCCGGCGGUAGAAGAUGGGUGUGCGUUAGAUUAGCUAGUUGGUAAGGUAACGGCUUACCAAGGCGAUGAUCUAUAGGGGGCGUGAGAGCGUGAUCCCCCACACGGGUACUGAGACACGGACCCGACUCCUACGGGAGGCAGCAGUAAGGAAUAUUGGACAAUGGGCGAAAGCCUGAUCCAGCCAUCCCGCGUGCAGGAUGACGGCCCUCUGGGUUGUAAACUGCUUUUGUAUGGGACGAAACGCCUUCAUUUAUGAGGGUCUGACGGUACCAUAAGAAUAAGCAUCGGCUAACUCCG